CGGAUGUUCACAGUGAGAAUGACUGUUUGUGGCGAGAAGUCACAGUCAGGUCAGCCCCUCGGUGACAGCACAGCUGUCUCCAGCGCUCAGCUGGCGUCCCGUCCCUCACCGUGUCCCCAUCUGUCAGGCUGAUUCUCCCGUGCAUGUGUGUGCGUACAAUUUCACCCUAACCGUCUGUGGCUGCCUUCAGUUUUGCACUGUAAUUUGGCCGACCAUUGCUUUUUUUAAUCUCCUAAACAAACGGUGGGCUUCACAGUGGCUCCUAUGUCUUGGCUCCAGAGUGCAGCCACGGAAUGUCACGGUGCGUGCUGGAGCCUUCCUGCUGGCUGCAUUCAAUAGCUACUGACAGACCAGCUCCAGACUCUUCCAGAAGGAAAAUUAGUCUGGAAGGAAUCACUCAGUCUGCACCUUACGAGCCACAAAACACCAAUGGUCUCCAAAUCGUCGGGUGUUAUGUAAGUCAGUGAGCCAAGCAUUUGGAAUUCUACAGAAAUGGUCUCAGCUGCCGCUUCCGCCCUAGUCCAGCCGUUAUAUAACCAACGUCCAUGGCACUGUUGAGCUGUUGUAGAUUUCAGAUGAAUUACCACACAGCAGCGUGGGUUAUCCACUGUCCCUAGACUUGCAGUGCAGACGAAGCCUAUGGGCGCUUGGCAGCUCACCUAGACUUGGGGUCAGCCUCCUCUGGGCCAGUGGAUUUUGUCCUGAACUGACCCCAGCCUGAGGGCAGGUGAAGCCUGGAAGGACCUGCCCGGGAGGGAGGCUCUGUGUCCAGCGGGAGGAGACUCCGGGGCCUCCGCUCCAGGAAAGUGCCCUCGUCUUGCAGCUGUGCCCACUCUUCAGAGGGAUCAGGAAGCACAGCAAGCACAGGGCCCUGCAGGCAGGCAGCUGGGGCAGAGUGGGACACGGGCCUGCGUGUGCCCGUACUGGAGCAGGAGUGGGGGCUGGGAGAAGAGGUGGUCCCACGGGGCUGCCCACCCACAUUCUGAGGGCGUGGCACUGGAAUUGUGCUUGCCGCCUGCUUCCUUACCUGCCGGGCUUCAGACUCGCGUGCAUAUGCAGUGAUGGGGCUGCUCCUGCCGGGACCACUUCGAUGGCAUAGUAGGGAGGGCUGAGACCCAAGAGACUAAGAAGUGGAGUCAGACCAAGGGCAUGAGAAGAGGGGACCAACCACAGGGGCAGGGUGCGGGCCGGCCAGGGCUCCUGUGGCUGCACCAGUGGCCAGGCAAGUGGCCUGUGUCGUGUCCUGGACACGGAGAGGCAACAGGCGGGCUGCGGAUGAGGCUCGGGCCAGGAAGCUGGAUUUGGGGUGCCCGAAUUUGAGCCACCCAGCACUGAGACCAGUGUUGUACGGAGUCCACCAGCCAAGAUGGCAUCGAGACACUGGGCCUCAGCCCUCCCAGCCUCUGAGCCGCUGCCUCCUCACGAGUGACAGCCUUCAGUUCACCAACUGUGGGGAGCCGGGGCAGAGCUGUCUCCUGCUUCCCCCGGAACCACAGAGCUGCGCAGGCACCAGGUCUGACGCCCCGUCUGGCCCUCUGCCCUCUGCCCUCCGCUGCUUCUGGAUUUCCGCGCACAGUGCAGCGUCUGAGACAGUGGCGAGAGGCCGCCAUCUUCUCGGAGGAGCAUUUGUUGCCAUCUGUUUUUAUCUCAAGGCUUAAAGCAAAGAAGGCAGAGCACGUGCCUCGUGCUGGUCCUGUGGCACCCGUCCCGCAUGCUCAGCUUUCAUCAGCAUCUUCUGGAAAGACGCGGCCCUGACUCCCUUAGCCAUGAUCUUGCCUGCUGUGAUUUCGGUUCCCACCAUCAACAGCAUUGCGUGGAAAACUGCAGAACCCCCUCCAGGUCCCGGUGAGAGGCUGAGACCAGACAGCGAAGAGCGAGCGUGGCACAAGCCCUGAAGACAGCACCCGAGAGAAGCAAGCCCCCGCCCCCGGAAGUGACAGAGUGCUCUGCUGGCAGCCCCACCUCCCAAGUCACUCGGGGAACAAUCGCCUAACUUCCCCACCACGAAGCUCCGCUUACAGUGCCCACCGAGAAGUUCAAACGUGCAGUGGAUUUAAACCUCACCUCUGGCUGCAGCCAAACACCUGCCUCCACUCUGUCCCCCCAGGCCCCUUGCCCCUAUAGGAGUCACCUAGCCAGCCCCUGGCCGCUGCUCUGCCAUUGUUCGAGACAGCCCGGCACCUGUCCCCUAAUAAAGGCUUCGUCUUGGGUGUUGUGUUUUCGGCUCAUUCUCGUCCUCUCCCAAAGCACCAAUACGCAGGGCCCCUUCCGGGGAGUCCCGGAGCAGCUGUGUGCAGCCACAGCAGAAGGGGGCUGCCGUGCUGGGGCGGGGAGCAAGCAGCAAAGGCC
ensembl:lncRNA